AAUAGAUACCCAGGUAGUCCACGCCGUAAACGAUGAGUGCUAAGUGUUAGGGGGUUUCCGCCCCUUAGUGCUGCAGCUAACGCAUUAAGCACUCCGCCUGGGGAGUACGGUCGCAAGACUGAAACUCAAAGGAAUUGACGGGGGCCCGCACAAGCGGUGGAGCAUGUGGUUUAAUUCGAAGCAACGCGAAGAACCUUACCAGGUCUUGACAUCCCGCUGACCGCUAUGGAAACAUAGCUUUCCCUUCGGGGACAGCGGUGACAGGUGGUGCAUGGUUGUCGUCAGCUCGUGUCGUGAGAUGUUGGGUUAAGUCCCGCAACGAGCGCAACCCUUGUCCUUAGUUGCCAUCAUUCAGUUGGGCACUCUAAGGAGACUGCCGUACAAAUACGGAGGAAGUGGGGAUGACGUCAAAUCAUCAUGCCCCUUAUGACCUGGGCUACACACGUGCUACAAUGGACGGUACAAACGGUUGCGAAGUCGCGAGACGGAGCCAAUCCGAGAAAGCCGUUCUCAGUUCGGAUUGCAGG
rnacentral:rRNA from 1 species